AUAUUUCCGCGCCGGUUUCGAGGGUCUUUACCGGGAGCCGCCAUUUUCUCACGUACUGCCGAACGACGGGGGAGGUCUUCCUUUUCCUGCAUUCCGCGGGAAGGUCAAAAACGAUUCACAUAUUGAAGCCCUAAGACCCAGUGUGGCUUUAAUCAGAGAUGGGGCUCCUAAGGUAAGUAAUUAAGGUUAAAUGAGGUUGUAAGUGUGGGGCUCCAGGAAGUUUAGUGUCCUUAUUUAUAAGAAGAGAAACCAGAAAGCAGUGUCUCACCAGAAACUAUAUCUGCUGGAACCUAGAUCUUGGACUUCUAGCCUCUGGAACUAUGAGAAAAUUAAUUUCUGUUGUUUAAGCCACCUACUCUGGUAUUUUGUUAUGGCAACAAGAGCAGUCUAAUACAGUGGUGAAUUACAUUGUUUAUAAAAUUAGACAACUUUUAACCGACUUUGCAUUCUUUGGAUAAACCCAAUGUAGUCAUGAAGUAUUUAUCUUUUUAAAAUGUUGCUUAAUGUGUUCAGUAGAAACCUGGGAAACAUUUGUGGGGUCAUGGUGGAAGGAAUAUGAUUUUGGAUCAAGCAAAUUUAAUAUGGGCUUACUAUGAAUUGAUUCUGGUUUUUAUGUGUGAGCUCAGUGAGAAUGGCUCUAACAGUUUGCUUGGUUGGUUGACUGAAACUUGACUUAAAGGUGAACUACAUUAAAGUUUAAAUGCCAGAAAUUCCUUGUUCCAUAUUCUGUAAAGUAUCCAAAAGUAUAUGGAGUUAGGAAUGCUAAUGUAGAUUUAUCAUGUAAAACCAGCUUACCCAUCCCCUAAAUACAUAACCCAGGAGCAUCCAGAAGACAGUCUCUUCAAUGAAGCUAAUCUGGCUACAGAAAAUGGAAGUAUACUAUUAUAACAUUCUGUCACUAUACACGAAGAGGUAUAUAUAAUAAUACUUAUACUGACAAGUUAAUGAUACAUGCUGUAAACUAAAGGAACCACUUAAAUAACAAAAGUAUGGGGAAUUCCCUGGUGGUCUAGCAGUUAGAUUCCGUGCUUCCACUGCUGGGGGCCCACGUUCAAUCUCUGGUCGGGGAACUAAGAUCCCACAAGCCAUGCAUGGUGCAGCCAUAAAUAAAUAGAUAAAUAGAUAAAUAAAUAAAUAAAUAAAAUAAGCCAACAAAGAAGAUAAAUAAUCAUAAGACAUACUCAGUUACUCCAAAAGAUAGUAGGAAAAGGGGAGCAAAGAAUAGAUGGGGGCUUCCCUGGUAGCACAGUGGUUAAGAAUCUGCCUGCCAAUGCAGGGUACAUGGGUUCGAGCCCUGGCCCAGGAAGAUCCCACAUGCUGCGGAGCAACUAAGCCUGUGCGCCACAGCUACUGAGCCUGCGUUUCACAACUACUGAGGCCUGUGUGCCAGGAGCCUGUGCUCUGCAACAGGAGAGGCCACCAUGAUGAGAAACCCGUGCACCACAACAAAGAGUAGCCCCCGCUUGCUGCAACUAGAGGAAGCCCACACACAGCAACGAAGACCCAGCACAAGCCAAAAAUAUAAAUUAAAAAAAAAAAAAAUAGGUGGGAUGAAUAGCAAAUUGUACAUUUUUAAUCUCAACCUAACUACAUUCUCACAUUAAACAUAAAUGAUUUAAACACCCCAAUAAAAGGACAUAUUGUCAACUCGAUAAAAAAGCAAGGCCUAACUAUAUAUUACCUUCUAGAAAACCACUUUAAAUAUUAAGUGACGAAUAGGUUAAAAGUAAACCAUGUUAAAUAGAGAUGUGAAAGAUAUAAAAAGAAAGUCCCAAGUCAAAUUUCUAGAGAUUAAAAACUACAAUUUGAAAGAAAACAUACACUGAUGGAAUUAAUGGCAAUUAGACAUGGCAUAAGAAAAGAUUAGUUAACUUGAAGACACAGCAAUAGAAACUAUCCAAAAUGAUACAAGGGGCUGUGCUGGGGGGGUCUUAAAAAGCAUGAGCAGUUUUUUAACCUAUUAGGGUAUGCAAAAGAAAAGACCAGUGAAGUUGAUGACAAGGCAAAAGAAACUCACGUACAAAAGCUAAUAAAAGCUUUUAUUAAAAAGAGAAAAGCCUUGAGUUCUCAGCCAAUGGGGUAAGAGGUAUCAUUGUGAGGAACACCAGGUGGAAAUCUCUCAAACUGCCCUCCACUCUCUUCUCAAGAUAGUGAAUGAAGAAACAAUAUUAUGGGAGGGCUUAUAAAAUAUGAACAUGUAACAUAUAAAAUAUUUUUUAAACCCCAUUACACAUUGUUAUAAUUAACAUGUUAAUCACUUCUCUGCCUUUUUGAUCCAAUGGAAUACAGUUAUAACUGUUUAUACAGUUAUCAUACUGUCCUUGUUUGCUCAAUCUAGCAUCGUCAGUUUCCGGUCACUUCUGAUUGGUUUUUCUCAAUAUUGGUCAUACUUUCUGGCUUUUAUGCAUGCUUGGUAAUUUUUGGUUGGAUGACAAACAUUGUUAAUUAAUGUGUUUGCACUCCUAUAAAUAUUCUUGAGGUUUGUUUUGAGAUACAUUAAAGUUACUUGGAAACAGUUUGGUCCUUUCUGAUCCUACUUUAGAUCUCAGUUGAGCAAGACCAGAUUGCUUAUUGGAUGAGACUCAGCCAAUUAACAAUGAGUGCCUACUCUGUCAGGCAUUCUAGACAUCUGGUAAUAUAGGGGUUAACAGAAGGUCCCUAAACAGUAGAAGUACUUGUUACUUCUUCAUGAAGCUUACAGUCUAAAUUUUACAGACUAUAACUUACAUUCAAGACCUUAUAUUUGAGCACAAACUCAGGAAGAUGAUAUUUGUUAUUUGAUAUUUGUUAUAUUUCUGCUUUGUAUUGAAACUGAUAUAGCAAUGUUUAUACAUGAUCUAAGAUCCUCAUAUAUUCCACAUUAAAAUCCUUAAGAAAACAAUUGAGAUGUUCUCUUCAAGUAAUUCUAAGUUUUUACAUCAUGUGUUUUUUAAAAAUCAUUUACAAUGCCAUUAAGAUACCUAAUCUACUUACAUGCCUUCACUCCUAGCUUCUCCCUAAGGGACCUGACCUCAUGCUCUUCCUCAAAUCCCAGUUUUCCAGCAGUAGACUUGGUCUGAACCUUAAUGCUACAUCAGUUUUAUGCCAGUCCCUACUGACAUUACUCCUGGCUACAGCUCAGUAAUUAUAGAGAUUCUGAAAAUAUUUGCCAGAUUGGUUAAAGGGCUAUAGUAUUCCAGUCUAGAACCAGAUUGAGCCCACACUUCCAGAGCUCCUUGACCUAUUCCCAAUCUGAUUCAGUCGAUCCAGCUCUGUGAAGUAUGAUACCAGGCCACAGUUGAUUCUAUUAUGAUCUACUUUUCUCUUCCUCAUGUGACACUCAAACAUGUAAGACUCGAGAGUCCCUUAGUUGAGAGGAAAUGGAACCACCCCAACAUUCUUCCUGACAUCUAUAUCCAUUCCAUCAAUGAGGAAAAGGGAAGGGUUGGGCAGAGAGCUAUCUCCAGAGGGAAGAAUGCAGCUGAAUAGUUAUCCAGUUUAGAUUUUCAUAUUCCCAGGAUUCUGAGAAUAAUUUGGAUAAUCAGAGAAGAGAGAGCUAGGAUGGAAGCAAGAAGAGUCAUCUUAAUUUGUGUUCAAAUUGCCCAUUUUAUUUUCAUGUUUUCAGGAAAAAAACUACCAAGAGUUAUGUUGGAAUGUAUUUUGUUAGUUAAUUUAUAGGUUUAAAUUACUAAUUGUCCUUGGGCUUUCAGUUCAUUUUGCAAACCUGAUUUCACUACCUUUUCAAGUCUAGAAAAUUUUAAAAAUCACAUUUAUAGUGACCUUUAUGGUAUAAUGCUUAGUCUUAUUUAUAAAUUGAACUUAAGCUCAUUCAAGGACAUAAGUUAUAUUUAUGAAUUUAAUAUUCAUUUCUGUUGUGAGGGAAUUGAGUUGUCUGAAAUAAUAUUUAAAUAAAUUUAGAGCCUAAGAAAUGCAGCAGCUAAUCAUAUAUUGGGUGGGCAUUGAAGUAAUUUUUUUUUAAAAAAAGAAAAAGAAUCCACAAUUAGGAGAAAUGAGUAUAACAUGAUAACCUUAACCAGUGAUGUGGGGUAGACUGUCUUUCUCCUUAAAAUUAUGGAAUCAUAAGCAUAGUAACUAGGAAUAUUGUUCAAGGUUUCUUGUCCAAAAUUAUACAUCAGGUAUAUUGUGUAAUGUAUUAUGAAGUGGGAAUUGGUACAUAAAGCUCUAGAAUGUUUCUCAUUUUCACAGGCUUUGCUUCACAAGAACUUUAGUAAGAUAUUCCACAAUUAGUGUGUUCACAGUGUUUUAUUUGUAUAUGAUUUCAUCAGCUAAUGGAUGGGGCAGAAAACCCUGCCACAUUCACUGCCUUCCAAGUUUCUCUCCAGUAUGUAAUGACACCUAUUGAGGGAAGGACUUUACCACUCUCAUAUUUUUACACACUAUAAUCUCACUGAUGACCUUGGUAAUCACUGAUAAUAGGAUCUAUCUUCCAAAACACAGCUUUCCUAACCUCUGCCUUCAUAGGUUUGCUUUUUAUACAUAACCAUAUAACCAGCUAUACAUUAUUGCUCAAGGCUUUUCCAAAUAGAAUGUACCAGUUUUUUCCUAUGUGUUUUUUGUGACAUAAAAUAAGAUAUAAUUGACCACUGAAGGCAUAACCACAUUCAUUGCAUUCAUGAAGUUUCUCUCCUGCAUAAACUCUCUGUUAUCUCCUGAGGGUGCACCUCUGGCCUCUGGCUGUUCCAUAAGGACUACAUUCCUAUCUGCUAGGAGCCCACUGAUGUUUAAUGUCUGAGGGGUUGCAGAAGGCAUCUGCACAGUCACCAUAUUAACAGUGUUUUCCCCCUGCAUGAGUUCACUAGUAUCUAAUAAGCUGUGACCCUUUGUGGAAGGAUAUUCCACCUUCACUGAAUCUACUUGUUUCUCUCUUGUGUGUGUCCUCUUAUGUUUAACCAAGCAUGACAUGUGGGAGAAAGCUUUCCCACACUCAUUGCAUCCAUAGGGCCUCUCUCCUGUGUGAGUUCUUUGAUGGACAAUGAGCAUUGUCUUUGUAGUGAAGGCUUUCCCACAGUCACUGCAUGCAUAGGGUUUCUCUCCUGUGUGAAUUCUCUGAUGUUUAAUGAGUCCUGAUUUCUGUGAACAAGAUUUUCCACAGUCAGUACAUACAAAGGGAGUCUUUCCUGUAUGAAAUCGCUGAUGUGCUAUGAGGCAUGCCUUCUGGCUGAAGGCCUUACCACAUUCAGUGCAUCCAUAGGGUUUCUCUCCAGUGUGAGUUCGUUGAUGUAUAAUAAGAUUGCCCUUCUGUAUGAAACCUUUUCCACAUUCACUGCAUAUAUAAGAUUUCUCUCCUGUAUGAAUUUUCUGGUGCAGAAUGAGCUGUGAUUUUCUGGAGAAACCUUUCCCACACUCAUUGCAUACAUGGGGUUUUUCUCCUCUUUUGUUUCUCUGAUGUAUAACGAGCUCUGCCUUCCUAAAGAAGGCUUUGCCACAUUCAGGACAUUCAUAGGGUUUCUCUCCUGUAUGAGUUCUCUGGUGUUCAGUUAGCUUGAACUUUCUGUAGAAUGCUUUCGCACAUACACUGCAUACAUGGGGUUUAUUUCCUGUAUGAGUCUUCUGAUGUUCAGUAAGCUGAAAUUUCCUGAGGAAGGCUUUUCCACAUUCACGGCACUCAUGGGGUUUCUCUCCUUUGUGAGUUCGCUGAUGUUCAGUGAGCUUGAACUUCUUGGAGAAGGUUUUCCCACAGACACUACAUCUGUGGGGUUUCUUUCCUGUAUGAAUUCUCUUAUGUUCAUUGAGCCGAGACUUCUUGAGGAAGGCUUUCCCACAUUCAGUACAUUCGUGGGUGUUCUCUAUUUUGUGUAUGUCCUGAUGUUUAAUUUCAGUAUGAGUUUGCUCAUGAUCAGCAUGGAGAAAGGAUCUCCCAUCUCCAUUAAACUUAGCAGACUCCAUUUUUUUGCAGCUUGUACUCAGGUUGAUUACAUCUAAAUAUGAUUUCAUAGUUUUCCCAUGUAAAUCAAAUACAUCAUGAUUUGGCCUCAAAGGAAAACAACUUUUGCUCUGAUAAAUAAUAUUCUCAAAUGCAUUCUGUUCAUAACACUGUUCCAACAUCUUCAGUAUAUUUUGGUUUUGCCAGUGUGGCUGCAUAUGAUCAUCCACUUUAUCAAUUUCUAGGAAAGAGAACAAUUAACCCUUCCAUGAGUACCAUAUGGAAUAAAACUGCUUCAAAAAUACCUUGGGGGACUUCCCUGGGGGUCCAGUGUUUAAGACUUCACCUUCCAAUGCAGAGGGUGCAGGUUCGGUGCCUUGUUGGGGAGCUGGGAUCCCGCAUGCCUCAUGGCCAUAAAACCAAAACAUAAAACAGAAGCAAUAUUGCAACAAAUUCAAUAAACACUUAAAAAAGAUACCUUGGAGUGAGCUGGCUCUUUAAUGGAAAACCUCUGAUAUCAAAUAUAAAAGAAAUUCCAAGUAUAAAAGUACCUUAUCUUUUUAAAAAAAAAAAACUUUUCACAAUUGUUGUUAAAUAUAUAUAAGAUAAAUUUUAUCAUUUUUAAGUGUAUAUUUAUGUGGCAUUAAGUACAAUCACAUUGUUGUACAACGAUCACGACCAUUCAUCUCUAGUUCUUUUUCAUCUUCCCCAACUGAAAAACUCUGUAUCCAUUAAACACUAACUCCUGUCUCUUGGAAAUUGUUAAAGACACAGUAAUAUAAAACACCAAACAACCCAAAAGAUAACAGCCAUCAGGGUAAAAAUUCUUUACUUUCACUGAAGCCAUAUUCUAUGGGUGGAAAGGGAAACAAUAAACAAAUAAGAUAAGGAAUAAAGUAAGCAGUUCCAAGUGUGACAGUGGUUUGAAGAAGCAAAGGAAAUAAGAAGUGGAAGAUGUCAGGAUUUAUUUGGAAGGAAGAAUAAACAAGACUCACUAAUGGAUUUGAUGUGAGGAGAGGUAACAAAAGAGGGAAUCAAAGUGCACGCCUGAGUAUUUGGCUUGACCCAUUGGGUAGUUGGGUAGUGCCUUUUAACAAGAUGAGGAAUAUCACCAAACUUCAGAAUGUGAGGGAAACCAAGUUCAGAAUAUGAGGGAAACCAAGUACAUUUUGAAACAUAUCAUUUUUGAGAUAAUAUCCAAGCACAGACACGGAAAAGCCAGUCAGAUGAUAAGACUUGAGUAAGGUCUUGACUGAAAAUAGCAAUGUGGAAACAUCAGUAUGUAAAUAUUAUUUAAGGGGACUUCCCUGGCAGUCCAGUGAUUAGGACUUGGCACUUUCACUGCCAUGGGCCCAGGUUCAAUCCUGGUUGGGGAAUUAAGAUCCCGCAAGCUGCAUGGUGCAGCCAAAAAAAAAAAAAAAAAAAAACCCAAAACAAAGAAA